rnacentral:rRNA from 1 species
UACGGAGGAUGCGAGCGUUAUCCGGAUUUAUUGGGUUUAAAGGGUGCGUAGGCGGACGCUUAAGUCAGCGGUAAAAUUGCGGGGCUCAACCUCGUCGAGCCGUUGAAACUGGGUGCCUUGAGUGGGCGAGAAGUACGCGGAAUGCGUGGUGUAGCGGUGAAAUGCAUAGAUAUCACGCAGAACUCCGAUUGCGAAGGCAGCGUACCGGCGCCCAACUGACGCUGAAGCACGAAGGCGGGGGUAUCGAACAGG